rnacentral:rRNA from 1 species
UACGUAGGGUGCGAGCGUUGUCCGGAAUUAUUGGGCGUAAAGGGCUCGCAGGCGGUUUGUCGCGUCGGGAGUGAAAACUCAGGGCUUAACCCUGAGCCUGCUUCCGAUACGGGCAGGCUAGAGGUAUGCAGGGGAGAACGGAAUUCCUGGUGUAGCGGUGAAAUGCGCAGAUAUCAGGAGGAACACCGGUGGCGAAGGCGGUUCUCUGGGCAUUACCUGACGCUGAGGAGCGAAAGCGUGGGGAGCAAACAGG